GAAGAAGACGAAUCAGAGAAACUCAAAGAGCCCCUACUACGAAUACCAUUCGAAAAUGGGAAAAUUAUGAAAGAACUGCCAGUCCAUGAAAAUCCAACUGUGUUCUUAUUUCCUGGCGUAGAAGGCAUUGCGGCAUUUAUGGAACCACUAGCUAAGAAUCUCAACAUUCAAGUUCUAUGUUUCCAAUACCACAAUACCAUCGAGUCAGCAGAAUUCUUCCUUACAAAAUUAAGAGAUGAAUUUGCAGAAAUUAUUCUAGAAAAACUCGGAACAGCUCAACAAUUUUUCAUCAUUGGAUACAGUCUGGGAGGUUUACUCGCGAUAGAAGUUGCCAGUGUUUUGGAGGAAAAUGGUAAAAAAGGGCACAUAUGGUUGAUAGAUUCGACGCCAGCUUACGUAAUUCGGAAAGCAAAAGCAUACGAAAGCCAGAAACCUAACUCGAGUGAAGAUAAAAGUAGACAUAAAGCGAUUAACAACGAGCAAUACUCGGUAUUACUUGAUGAAGAGAAUAGUAGGUUGAGUUUUCUGAUCAAAAACGUAUUAAGUCACAAGUUUUCUCACAAUCUUCUCGAGUCAUCGUGCACUUUAGUCAGAAGUGCAGAGU